rnacentral:rRNA from 1 species
GCAGGAUCAACCAGGUAGUCAUAUGCUUGUCUCAAAGAUUAAGCCAUGCAUGUCUAAGUAUAAGCGACUAUACUGUGAAACUGCGAAUGGCUCAUUAAAUCAGUUAUGGUUUAUUUGAUGGUACCUUGCUACUUGGAUAACCGUAGUAAUUCUAGAGCUAAUACAUGCAGGAGUUCCCGACUCACGGAGGGAUGUAUUUAUUAGAUAAGAAACCAAACCGGUCUCCGGUUGCGUGCUGAGUCAUAAUAACUGCUCGAAUCGCACGGCUCUACGCCGGCGAUGGUUCAUUCAAAUUUCUGCCCUAUCAGCUUUCGAUGGUAGGAUAGAGGCCUACCAUGGCGUUAACGGGUAACGGAGAAUUAGGGUUCGAUUCCGGAGAGGGAGCCUGAGAAAUGGCUACCACAUCCAAGGAAGGCAGCAGGCGCGUAAAUUGCCCGAAUCCUGACACAGGGAGGUAGUGACAAGAAAUAACAAUACAGGGCUAUUUUAGUCUUGUAAUUGGAAUGAGUACAAUUUACAUCUCUUCACGAGGAUCAAUUGGAGGGCAAGUCUGGUGCCAGCAGCCGCGGUAAUUCCAGCUCCAAUAGCGUAUAUUAAAGUUGUUGCAGUUAAAACGCUCGUAGUCGGAUUUCGGGGCGGGCCGACCGGUCUGCCGAUGGGUAUGCACUGGCCGGCGCGUCCUUCCACCCGGAGACCGCGCCUACUCUUAACUGAGCGGGCGCGGGAGACGGGUCUUUUACUUUGAAAAAAUCAGAGUGUUUCAAGCAGGCAGUCGCUCUUGCAUGGAUUAGCAUGGGAUAAUGAAAUAGGACUCUGGUGCUAUUUUGUUGGUUUCGAACACCGGAGUAAUGAUUAACAGGGACAGUCAGGGGCACUCGUAUUCCGCCGAGAGAGGUGAAAUUCUCAGACCAGCGGAAGACGAACCACUGCGAAAGCAUUUGCCAGGGAUGUUUUCACUGAUCAAGAACGAAAGUUAGGGGAUCGAAGACGAUCAGAUACCGUCGUAGUCUUAACCAUAAACCAUGCCGACUAGGGAUUGGAGGAUGUUCCAUUUGUGACUCCUUCAGCACCUUUCGGGAAACUAAAGUCUUUGGGUUCCGGGGGGAGUAUGGUCGCAAGGCUGAAACUUAAAGGAAUUGACGGAAGGGCACCACCAGGAGUGGAGCCUGCGGC